UCCAAUUUUGGGCUGGACUUGGUGAAAAACCAGAUUUUGUUGGUUUAUGAUGUCUCGCUUCUGUGGACAUGUAUUCGCUUUUGCGGGUCUGCCCAUGCGGGACAUGGCCCGCAGAUGCAAAUUGGUGAGGUGGUUAGUGACUUUGCGGAGGUGAGUCCGCAUCCGCAGAUGCGGAAACCACUGAAUCAGAAAAUCCUUUUAUUUCCCAAUUUUGAAUGAUUCCUUCCAUUUACCAAAAUCUUAACCUAGAGAGUAUUGUGGGUGAAACUGAAGAUUCUUUAGGGUGAAUUCAUCUUGGGACUUUGAUCGUUCGAAGGCAAUUAGGAAAGGGAAGGCCCAGAUUUAAGGAGUUUGAGGCUCGUGCUCGGUUUUGAGUGCAGAGUUUGAGACAGGAUCCACAUCGAGGCCCUGAGUUUAGCCCCGAGGCUUCUUAUCUCGAGAUUGGAGCAUGAGCCAUCAGCCGCAGCCCUAGAUCUCCUCCUUAUUAUCUAUUUCUUAUUUCCUUAGGCGGUACUCCUUGCGAUCAGACAUUUAUUAUAUUCUAAAUUUUUAUUUGGACUAGUCGUUCUGUACUUUGACUUCAAUCCUUGGGGAUGUAUUGACUUGGUAUUUCCGCACUUAUGCUCAUGUAUGAGUUAAGACUUACUGUG